rnacentral:rRNA from 1 species
GACGAACGCUGGCGGCGUGCCUAACACAUGCAAGUAGAACGCAGUUGCGCACGGGUGAGUAACGCGUAGGUACCUGCCUCAUUGCGGGGGAUAAAUAUUGGAAACGAUAGCUAAUACCGCAUACUGUGAGAUGGACCUGCGUUGGAUUAGUUCGUUGGUGGGGGAAAGGCUCACCAAGGCGACGAUACAUAGCCGGGCUGAGAGGGGGAAUGGCCAAACUGGGACGGGGAACAGGGCCAGGCGUCUACGGGAGGGAGCAGUGGGGAAACUUCGGCAAUGGACGGAAGGCUGAACGAGCAACGCCGCGUGAGUGAAGAAGGUUUUUGGGUUGGAAAGCUCUGUUGAUCGGGAAGCGGUACCUAAACAGAAAGGGACGGCUAACUACGUGCCAGCAGCCGCGGUAAUUC